UCAUCAGNCCUANCACAUGCAAGUCGAGNGANAAAGCCUUUUCCGGUGAGUACAGCGCGGGACGGGUGAGUAUNGNGUGGGAAUCUACCCAGUAGCGGGGGAUAGCCCGGGGAAACUCGGAUUAAUACCGCAUACGCCNUACGGGGGAAAGCAGGGGAUNUUCGGACCUUGCGNUUNUGGAUGAGCCCGCGUCAGAUUAGCUAGUUGGUGGGGUAAUGGCNUNCCAAGGCGACGAUCUGUAGCUGGUCUGAGAGGAUGAUCAGCCACACUGGGACUGAGACACGCCAGACUCCUACGGGAGGCAGCAGUGGGGAAUAUUGGACAAUGGGGGCAACCCUGAUCCAGCCAUGCCGCGUGUGUGAAGAAGGCCUUCGGGUUGUAAAGCACUCAGUGGGGAGGAAAAGCUGUUGGUUAAUACCCNGACGGCCGACNUACCC
rnacentral:rRNA from 1 species